rnacentral:rRNA from 1 species
GACGAACGCCGGCGGCGUGCUUAACACAUGCAAGUCGAACGGAAAGGCCCUGCUUUUGUGGGGUGCUCGAGUGGCGAACGGGUGAGUAACACGUGAGUAACCUGCCCUUGACUUUGGGAUAACUUCAGGAAACUGGGGCUAAUACCGGAUAGGAGCUCCUGCUGCAUGGUGGGGGUUGGAAAGUUUCGGCGGUUGGGGAUGGACUCGCGGCUUAUCAGCUUGUUGGUGGGGUAGUGGCUUACCAAGGCUUUGACGGGUAGCCGGCCUGAGAGGGUGACCGGCCACAUUGGGACUGAGAUACGGCCCAGACUCCUACGGGAGGCAGCAGUGGGGAAUAUUGCACAAUGGGCGGAAGCCUGAUGCAGCAACGCCGCGUGCGGGAUGACGGCCUUCGGGUUGUAAACCGCUUUCGCCUGUGACGAAGCGUGAGUGACGGUAAUGGGUAAAGAAGCACCGGCUAACUACGUGCCAGCAGCCGCGGUGAUACGUAGGGUGCGAGCGUUGUCCGGAUUUAUUGGGCGUAAAGGGCUCGUAGGUGGUUGAUCGCGUCGGAAGUGUAAUCUUGGGGCUUAACCCUGAGCGUGCUUUCGAUACGGGUUGACUUGAGGAAGGUAGGGGAGAAUGGAAUUCCUGGUGGAGCGGUGGAAUGCGCAGAUAUCAGGAGGAACACCAGUGGCGAAGGCGGUUCUCUGGGCCUUUCCUGACGCUGAGGAGCGAAAGCGUGGGGAGCGAACAGGCUUAGAUACCCUGGUAGUCCACGCUGUAAACGGUGGGUACUAGGUGUGGGGUCCAUUCCACGGGUUCCGUGCCGUAGCUAACGCUUUAAGUACCCCGCCUGGGGAGUACGGCCGCAAGGCUAAAACUCAAAGGAAUUGACGGGGCCCCGCACAAGCGGCGGAGCAUGCGGAUUAAUUCGAUGCAACGCGUAGAACCUUACCUGGGUUUGACAUGGAUCGGGAGCGCUCAGAGAUGGGUGUGCCUCUUUUGGGGUCGGUUCACAGGUGGUGCAUGGCUGUCGUCAGCUCGUGUCGUGAGAUGUUGGGUUAAGUCCCGCAACGAGCGCAACCCUUGUUCACUGUUGCCAGCACGUUAUGGUGGGGACUCAGUGGAGACCGCCGGGGUCAACUCGGAGGAAGGUGGGGAUGACGUCAAGUCAUCAUGCCCCUUAUGUCCAGGGCUUCACGCAUGCUACAAUGGCUGGUACAGAGAGUGGCGAGCCUGUGAGGGUGAGCGAAUCUCGGAAAGCCGGUCUCAGUUCGGAUUGGGGUCUGCAACUCGACCUCAUGAAGUCGGAGUCGCUAGUUAUCGCAGAUCAGCAACGCUGCGGUGAAUACGUUCCCGGG